rnacentral:rRNA from 1 species
UACGUAGGGGGCUAGCGUUGUCCGGAAUCAUUGGGCGUAAAGAGCGUGUAGGCGGUCCGGUAAGUCCGCUGUGAAAGUCGGGGGCUCAACCCUCGAAUGCCGGUGGAUACUGUCGGGCUAGAGUGCGGAAGAGGCGAGUGGAAUUCCUGGUGUAGCGGUGAAAUGCGCAGAUAUCAGGAAGAACACCCGUGGCGAAGGCGGUUCUCUGGGACGGUACUGACGCUGGAGACGCGAAAGCGUGGGAGCGAACAGG